UAUAGGCAAUCAAAAACGAUACUAAACUGUUUUUGCGAUGUGUUCCUAAUAUGCACUAUAAAUAUAUUGGGAACAUUUUGCAUGUAUAGUUUUGUAUCAAUAUACAGAUGAAAAGAU
rnacentral:precursor_RNA from 1 species